AGUGAACGCUGGCGGUAGGCCUAACACAUGCAAGUCGAACGGCAGCACAGUAAGAGCUUGCUCUUACGGGUGGCGAGUGGCGGACGGGUGAGGAAUACAUCGGAAUCUACUUUUUCGUGGGGGAUAACGUAGGGAAACUUACGCUAAUACCGCAUACGACCUACGGGUGAAAGCAGGGGAUCUUCGGACCUUGCGCGAUUGAAUGAGCCGAUGUCGGAUUAGCUAGUUGGCGGGGUAAAGGCCCACCAAGGCGACGAUCCGUAGCUGGUCUGAGAGGAUGAUCAGCCACACUGGAACUGAGACACGGACCAGACUCCUACGGGAGGCAGCAGUGGGGAAUAUUGGACAAAGGGCGCAAGCCUGAUCCAGCCAUACCGCGUGGGUGAAGAAGGCCUUCGGGUUGUAAAGCCCUUUUGUUGGGAAAGAAAAGCAGCAGGUUAAUACCCCGCUGUUCUGACGGUACCCAAAGAAUAAGCACCGGCUAACUUCGUG
rnacentral:rRNA from 1 species